rnacentral:rRNA from 1 species
GUCGAGAAUCUUCCGCAAUGCGCGAAAGCGUGACGGAGCGACACCGCGUGAUGGAUGAAGUCCUUCGGGGCGUAAACAUCUUUUAUAAAGGAGGAAAUUUUUGACGUUACUUUAUGAAUAAGGGGCUCCCAAUCUCGUGCCAGCAGGAGCGGUAAUACGAGAGCCUCAAGCGUUAUCCGGAAUCAUUGGGCGUAAAGGGUGCGUAGGUGGUUUGAUUAGUCUCCCGUUAAAACUUCGAGCUUAACUCGAAAAGAGCGGGGGAAACGGUCAAACUAGAGUAUGUGAGAGGUGUGUGGAACUCAUAGUGUAGGGGUGAAAUCCGUUGAUAUCAUGGGGAACACCAAAAGCGAAGGCAGCACACUGGCACAUCACUGACACUGAGGCACGAAACCUAAGGUAGCGAAUGGGAUUAGAUACCCCUGUAGUCC